rnacentral:rRNA from 1 species
CCAGACUCCUACGGGAGGCAGCAGUGAGGAAUAUUGGUCAAUGGGCGAGAGCCUGAACCAGCCAAGUCGCGUGAAGGACGACGGUUCUAUGGAUUGUAAACUUCUUUUGUAGAGGAAUAACGGUAGCUACGUGUAGCUGAGAUGCAUGUACUCUACGAAUAAGUAUCGGCUAACUCCGUGCCAGCAGCCGCGGUAAUACGGAGGAUACGAGCGUUAUCCGGAAUUAUUGGGUUUAAAGGGUGCGUAGGUGGCGUAUUAAGUCAGUGGUGAAAAGCUGCAGCUCAACUGUAGUCUUGCCGUUGAAACUGAUAUGCUAGAGAGGAGACGAGGUAUGCGGAAUGUGUGGUGUAGCGGUGAAAUGCAUAGAUACCACACAGAACGCCGAUUGCGAAGGCAGCGUACCAGGCUCCGUCUGACACUGAAGCACGAAAGCGUGGGGAUCAAACAGGAUUAGAUACCCUGGUAGUCCACGCAGUAAACGAUGAAUACUAGAUUUUUGCGAUAUACUGUAAGAGUCUAAGCGAAAGCGAUAAGUAUUCCACCUGGGGAGUACGCCGGCAACGGUGAAACUCAAAGGAAUUGACGGGGGCCGCACAAG